AUACGUAGGUGACAAGCGUUAUCCGGAUUUACUGGGCGUAAAGGGCGUGUAGGCGGUCUUGCAAGUCAGAAGUGAAAUUCCUGAGCUCAACUCGGGCGCUGCUUCUGAAACUGCAGGACUUGAGUGCUGGAGGGGAUAGCGGAAUUCCUAGUGGAGCGGUAAAAUGCGCAGAUAUUAGGAAGAACACCGGUGGCGAAGGCGGCUUUCUGGACAGUAACUGACGCUGAGGCGCGAAAGUGUGGGAAGCAAACAGGAUUAGAUACCCUGGUAGUCCACACUGUAAACGAUGAAUACUAGGUGUAAGAGGGAUCGAGCCCUUUUGUGCCGGAGUUAACACAAUAAGCGUUCCGCCUGGGGAGUACGGCCGCAAGGUUGAAACUCAAAUGAAUUGACGGGG
rnacentral:rRNA from 1 species